rnacentral:rRNA from 1 species
UUGACGGAGAGUUUGAUCCUGGCUCAGGGUUAACGCUGGCGGUGCGCAUAACACAUGCAAGUCGAGCGAGGGCUCAUUUCCCGCAAGGGAGAUGGGUUCCUAGCGGCGAACGGGUGAGUAACACGUGGGCAACCUUUCCUAUCGCGGGGGAUAACAGCGGGAAACCGCUGCUAAUACCGCAUGUAGUCACCGGUCGCAUGGCCGGUGAAAAAAGCAGCAAUGCACGAUGGGGUGGGCCCGCGGCCUAUCAGCUAGUCGGUGGGGUAACGGCCUACCGAGGCGAUGACGGGUAGCUGGUCUGAGAGGACGACCAGCCACACGGGGACUGAGACACGGCCCCGACUCCUACGGGAGGCAGCAGUGAGG